rnacentral:misc_RNA from 1 species
UUGUGUCUCCUCCUCUCUGUUGCUGUGUGCUCGUGAGGUUGUACUCUUCACAAACCACACACCACACACCUCCUCUUCUUUGGCUUCUCUCUCUGCCUGUGCGUCUGUCCCCGUGCUGGAGCCGUGAGUAAGCGCGUGCACGCAUUCACUGCCUUCCCAACUUCUCCUGGACGCGCACACACACAUAAACCGCUGCUCCUUGUCGGCUAUUCCUCGCCCACACCCUCCAGAGGGAACACUCCUGUGCGUUGCCGGCUAACGCACACGCCAAAGCAUACACACACACACCUCCACGAGAAGACGCGAGGACGAACAGGUACCCAGGCGCGCCGACGAGAAGAGUCACGCGCCGUGACGCAGCCGAAAAAAAAAAAACAAAGGCACGACAGGUAAGAAAACACUAACACCUUCAGAAAAAGCGACAUCGUCAUGUCGUCUGCGAGCAAGGCGUCGGGUGGAAAGUGGGUGAGCCCCCGCGUGCUGCAGUACAAGCAGCAGCAGGGCCCCACCACUGGCCCGGCGUCUGGUAACGGCGGCGCUGGCAGCAAGAUCAUGGAGGACAAGGCCAUCGCUGCGGCCCGCAUUAAGGAUAGUCAGAGCAGCCCAGCACCGGAGGUGGAGGUAGCGGAGUCGAAGUUCUUCGAAGUGCAAGAGGCGACGGAUGCUCUGAGCAACCUCGCGCACAACGCCGAAUCGUCGACCUACGAGCUGUGCGGGAAGCCAGUGGUGAAGCCGCACCAGAGCGCUGAGGAGUUCCACAAGAUGAUCAUGGAGCAGGUCCAGAAGCAGGUGAAGUAGAGAGGCGGCGUGCACCGCUGACGACACCAAGCGAUACGUCUUCGUGCUCAUCUAUUUUAUUCUUUCUCUCCCUUUCUCUGUGUGUCGCCGGCUGCACGUCGCACACCUUCACAGAGACAGGCGCGCUCUACAUGCUGACAUACUCGCCCAUGCCGCUGAGCAUUGCACACGUGCUAGUCACAGGCCGUGGGUGCUCAAGAGAGUCGCUGUCGAUCUGUUUUCUUUUUGAAUCAUGGGAUGCACGCCGACCUUCUUAGUGUGUGUGUGUGUGCAUUUUUCUGGAUGUGUUGUGUAGGCAAAGAGGGCGUCAGCGGGUGCGUGUGUGUGGGUCGACGUCAUGCUUGCUGAAAAAAGAAUAGAAAGGACGUAUGCAGCGAUUUACUGGUAGUGCUGGUGCUGGUUGCUCUCCCAUGGCUUCCCCGUUGCCGUCCGGUUUUUGUGCGCGUAUCUACGCCGAUGUGCACAUGUGCGCUCUGUGGUGUUCUCUGCCUCUUCCUUCUGUAUUGCCUCACUGUUUAUCUGUUGUGUGUCGUCGCUGUCUUCUCUUCUUUUUCUGUGUUUUUUUUUUAAUUUGGCGCGGUGUCGGCGCAGCGUGUGAUGCGUGCGCAUGAUCGUGUGUACACGCACGCGAGAGUGCGUGUGGCAGUGACGGUGAUCGGGGCGAUAUGUCUGGUGUGUAUGGGUGCGUGAGUAGCUGUUGUGCGCCCCGCUAUGUUGUUGCUAUUUCUCUCUCUCGUGUUUGGCCAGGCGUCUCUUUAACCUCGUCCUUUGAUCUG